rnacentral:rRNA from 1 species
AUUGAACGCUGGCGGCAGGCCUAACACAUGCAAGUCGAACGAGUGGCGGACGGGUGAGUAAUGUCUGGGAAACUGCCUGAUGGAGGGGGAUAACUACUGGAAACGGUAGCUAAUACCGCAUACCAUCGGAUGUUCCCAGAUGGGAUGAGCUAGUAGGUGGGGUAACUGCUCACCUGGGGGACGAUACCUAGCUGGUCUGAGAGGAUGACCAGCCACACUGGAAGUGAGACACGGUCCAGACUCCUACGGGAGGCGGCGGUGGGGAAUUUUGGACAAUGGGCGCAAGCCUGAUGCAGCCAUGCCGCGUGUAGGAAGAAGGCCUUCGGGUUGUAAAGUACUUUCAGCGGGGAGGCGUUACCCGCAGAAGAAGCACCGGCUAACUCCGUGCCAGCAGCCGCGGUAAUAC